rnacentral:rRNA from 1 species
CGUAGGUGCAAGCGUUGUCCGGAAUUAUUGGGCGUAAGAGCUCGUAGGCGGUUGUCGCGUCUGCUGUGAAAUCCCCGAGGCUCAACCUCGGGUCUGCAGUGGGUACGGGCAGACUAGAGUGCGGUAGGGAGAUUGGAAUUCCUGGUGUAGCGGUGGAAUGCGCAGAUAUCAGGAGGACACCGAUGGCGAAGGCAGAUCUCUGGGCCGUAACUGACGCUGAGGAGCGAAAGCAUGGGAGCGGAACAGGAUU